rnacentral:rRNA from 1 species
AACGCUAGCUACAGGCUUAACACAUGCAAGUCGAGGGGAAACGACAUCGAAAGCUUGCUUUUGAUGGGCGUCGACCGGCGCACGGGUGAGUAACGCGUAUCCAACCUGCCCACCACUUGGGGAUAACCUUGCGAAAGUAAGACUAAUACCCAAUGAUAUCUCUAGAAGACAUCUGAAAGAGAUUAAAGAUUUAUCGGUGAUGGAUGGGGAUGCGUCUGAUUAGCUUGUUGGCGGGGUAACGGCCCACCAAGGCGACGAUCAGUAGGGGUUCUGAGAGGAAGGCCCCCCACAUUGGAACUGAGACACGGUCCAAACUCCUACGGGAGGCAGCAGUGAGGAAUAUUGGUCAAUGGGCGAGAGCCUGAACCAGCCAAGUAGCGUGCAGGAUGACGGCCCUAUGGGUUGUAAACUGCUUUUAUAAGGGAAUAAAGUGAGUCUCGUGAGACUUUUUGCAUGUACCUUAUGAAUAAGGACCGGCUAAUUCCGUGCCAGCAGCCGCGGUAAUACGGAAGGUCCGGGCGUUAUCCGGAUUUAUUGGGUUUAAAGGGAGCGUAGGCCGGAGAUUAAGCGUGUUGUGAAAUGUAGACGCUCAACGUCUGCACUGCAGCGCGAACUGGUUUCCUUGAGUACGCACAAAGUGGGCGGAAUUCGUGGUGUAGCGGUGAAAUGCUUAGAUAUCACGAAGAACUCCGAUUG